rnacentral:rRNA from 1 species
AUGAACGCUGGCGGCGUGCUUAACACAUGCAAGUCGAACGAGAAGUGGAGACGGAAACCUUCGGGCGGAAGACUUUAUUUCGAGUGGCGGACGGGUGAGUAACGCGUGGGUAACCUGCCUCAUACAGGGGGAUAACAGUUGGAAACGACUGUUAAUACCGCAUAAGACCACAGCACCGCAUGGUGCGGGGGUAAAAACUCCGGUGGUAUGAGAUGGACCCGCGUUCGAUUAGCCAGUUGGCGGGGUAACGGCCCACCAAAGCGACGAUCGAUAGCCGAUCUGAGAGGAUGACCGGCCACAUUGGGACUGAGACACGGCCCAAACUCCUACGGGAAGCAGCAGUGGGGAAUAUUGCACAAUGGGGGAAACCCUGAUGCAGCGACGCCGCGUGAGUGAAGAAGUAUUUCGGUAUGUAAAGCUCUAUCAGCAGGGAAGAAAAUGACGGUACCUGAGUAAGAAGCCCCGGCUAACUACGUG